AGAGAUCAAGCGAACCUCAUAAAGUGCGUCGUAGUCCGGAUUGGAGUCUGCAACUCGACUCCAUGAAGUCGGAAUCGCUAGUAAUCGUGGAUCAGAAUGCCACGGUGAAUACGUUCCCGGGCCUUGUACACACCGCCCGUCACACCAUGGGAGUGGGUUGCAAAAGAAGUAGGUAGCUUAACCUUCGGGAGGGCGCUUACCACUUUGUGAUUCAUGACUGGGGUGAAGUCGUAACAAGGUAACCGUAGGGGAACCUGCGGUUGGAUCACCUCCUUACCUUAAAGAA
rnacentral:rRNA from 1 species